rnacentral:lncRNA from 1 species
ACACACUAAGAACAGGUAAAAUAUGGGUUACUCUCAUGAUAUUCACAUUACACAUAACAUAACAGCCCAGGCAAUCGUCUCAAGCUCCAACUAUCAAUUGGGGAAUUAAUAAUUCUCAUACAUCAGUUAUGCAUUCAAAUAAAGCAAGAACACAAAAAUAAGUGCAGUAUAUUGAACAUAAAUUUAUUUCAAAAAACUUAUCUCCCGUCGUUGGUUCUUCAAGUAACUGGGUGCUAUCGGUCCGUUCUCUCUGCCUUUUUGCAACCAAUUAUCGUUAGUUCUAAUGAGUUAAGAAGAUGACGACCUUUUGUGAUUCCGACUCUUGUUUGGGCCAUGAGAGAGUAGCUUCCGACAAGCCACCCUGACUUUAAUUCAUCAUCCUCCACCACGCCACCGUCGGGCUCAACUUACUCAACACGAUGGUGACAAGUCUCGUCCACACGAAAUUAACAUCAAAUAGCAGAGUGAUUAGUUACAAUGCCUCAAAAUUAUUUUUCGGUGGACAAUUCAAAACUUAAAUAUUUUACUUAUAUUAUGUAAGAUGCUCAACAUAUUCUCCUGCUAACGGAGUAUUUAAAAGCUCAUUUCAUUUAUGUCUUCUUUAUUACCUUUAUAUAUCAAACAACAUACAUUCAAAUUAAGCAAAUUAGCACUCCUUUCGGAGGUGGAAGGCUAUAUUUAAUUACUUAGGGAAACCUUUUGAGCAAUGUGAAAUAAAUUGCACUACCCAAUAACACAAAUUUUCUCAUUCUAUUCUCGCAACACCAUUGACUUAUUUUUAGAUAUAAUCAUUUUCACUGACUAGUUAAUAUGAGCGAUCUAUGAUUAGCAAAGAUUAAUGAUUUUAUGCGUAUGCGCAACAGAAAAUCUUACCCACUGUGUAGCGCCCCGCCCCGAGUAGCAGGCACCUCGUGGCGGAACACCACUCAACAUGCAGUACAUUCAAUGACCCCAAAUAUGCUCCUCAAAAUUUCGAUAAUCAAAACAUUAACCCGCAAUAUCUAUCCCAUCGUGUUUACAAAAGGAGGUUCUAUUACAAGUCGACUUCGACACCACUUACUCUAUUACAAAAUUCUCGAUCAAAGGAUUCCUAUACGGAACAUAAAUAGAGAUACCUCUCGACGAGACUAAUCGGAGGCAUACACGAGCUUUAACUCUUAGUAUGAAAAUUUAGGUCUAAGUCUUUCUUUUACCUGCGCAUUAAUAUCAUAAAGGAGAAACGAAUAAGUCCGAAUGACUUAGUGAAAAACAUAUGAUCCAUGAGUAUGAUGAGAAUCAACAGAACAGAACAUAUAACGAGAGACUUUACAAGAAUUUCAUUAACAGAAGUGUAACAUGUACAAGAGUGUAACAUGUACGGCUUGAGUUCAAUAUUUGGUGGGGUCUCCAACCUUGUAACUCCCAACAAAUAAAAUCAUAUCACGUCCUUAUCCCUCCACUCCGUCCCGAGUGACCACUCGGUCGGAAACAAGCAAGAGGCACGACCGGAACGUGCCGAUCCGGCUCAGGAACGUUUAACUCCAAACGAACGUGAGUCCGAACCAUCAGGAGGUACCAUUCGGGAGACCAGUCAUCGUCAGCCCAAUACUGCCCGAUCGUCUUGCCGAAAUGGUCCUAGGGCCCAGCUCCCCCAAGAGCGUCCUCAAGGGUGGGGACAGUAGGUUCAAGAAUCAAUAUUAUUCCUUUUAGGAAUAUCAAGUCAUUCAUUUCAAGAAUCAAGUCAAUCAUUCACAAGAUAAGUCGCGAUCACGAUAAUUGAAUAUCAAGUCUCAGGAUAAUGAACAUGUUCAGAUUUCAAUUCAAGCCAAUGAAGAAUUGUCGUGAAUAUGGAAUUCAAGAACAACAAUAAGUUCCAUGUCAGGUUCCAAGAACGAGUAUAUCAAGAUCUCAAUGAAUUCAAUAAACAUGAGAUUCAAGUUCGAGCCAACAAAAUAUUUAUUCUCGGAAAGCAUUCAAGACAAGAUUUUGAGAAUAAAUAUAGUUCAAUAUCGAUUCAAGGAAAAUGUUCAGGCCAGGGAAUCAAGUAUAGGAAUUAGCCGUGAACAUAGCAACCAAGAGAAUUGACAAGUUCAAGAUUUCAAGAACAAGAUCAAGGUUCCAAGUUCGAGCCAAGGAAACGAAUAUGCUCACAGAACAUUAAAGGUCAUAUUCCAAGAAAAAUAUAAUCAAUGCAUCAAAGGAUUCAAGAUGGAGAAUAUAUUUGGUUCAAACAAAGGAGAUAUUAAGCGCAGGAAAGAAAUCGGAUAAGGAGUCAUAGUUUCUCACCUGGAGUCCAACGUUAGUGCUAUAGAAGUGCUAUAGAAGCAUCUUUAAGCUUAAACCUUGAGUGAGAGCUUUACUACGCUCAACACCUAUGCAAAUAUUAGAACUAAAUAAGAUUCCGAACAGUAAUAUAGUCAUACUACCAUCCACUAUAUGACAUAGUCAAUUUCUUAAACAUAUACUAAGAAUUGAUUCUCGUGGCACUCUAUUCAAAUAAUCACUGGGAUCGUCGUACUUAUCCGAAUGACCUAAAUGAUAUAUAUCGUUAAAGAUAACAUAUGUAUCUACAAGUUUACUGAAGACUUUAAUCCCAAAUUAACAACAUAACCCGUCAAUAACAAUCCCGAAAGAUGAAUACAUAAACCUGCCAGAUUUUCGCAUAAUUUCGUUUGCUGUCACAGUUUCGUUGGAAAAUCAUAACAAAUCGUACAGUUAUCCAAAUUGUCCAAAUAAUACAUCAAAUGAAACCUGGAAUUUUAAUCUACAAGUUUCAUGAAGACACACAGCCUAAAUUCUGACCCGAACAUAUCGAAAACAGUCCCGCAAGAAGGUACUCAAAACUGCCCUGUUUCCGGCAGAUUACUGUCAUCGGAUUCGGACCUCUAAAACAUGCAUAUUACAUACUCUAAUUCGAUACAAUUGAACACUUACUUAUAGUUUACGAUGUCCUCUACGAGUUUCCUGAAGGAACCGAUUCGAAAUUCGGAUUCGAAACCCUUCGAUUUCGGCUCCGAAAACAGGUGCGGCAGCAGAAUUUGCUUCCCUUCGUUUCAACGAGCGAGCUGAAGUUCUAGCCAAUUCCGAUGACCACCGCUGAUGUAAACAAUCAAGAACCACCACCACUGGAAAUCUAACUUAUUAAGGUUUCGAACGGUACCUUCGGAUCAUCGAUGCUCCAACUUUAAGACCUCCGUUUAAUUGAUUUACGGAAAAGGCAAAACUCUGAAAUUGAAAUUCUGGACAGCUCGUCUUCUUUGUCGGAUUCCAGCCACCACCGCCGGCGACUGCUGCUGGAGACCACCACCACUAUAAAUCCGACUUUUUUUUCUUCAAUUAACUUCCAUGAUUUCAGCCAAGGAUCGAGAGAGAGAGGAAGAGAGAGAUGAUGAGAGAGAGCGAGAGAGAGAAAGGAGUUUGGAGAAGAGGAGUGAAGUGUAGGAAGAAUCGGAUGAAGAUGAAGAGGAAGUCUGACUCAUCUUUUAUUCUACGUGUCUCUCUCUCUAAUUUUCUUGGUUAAUAACAUUCAAUUAUCCGAUUACACAAGCCCCUCAAUUGCUUAAUGGCCAAGUUACUAAAUUAUAGAAUUAUUAUUAUGCUUAUGCCCCAAAAUUAUUACAUAAUAACACAUCAGCCCCCAAUUCCCAUUAUAAAGUACAAUAAACUCUCACAUAAUUUACUCGGUGUUACAAUCUCCCCUCCUUAAAGGAAUCUGGUCCCCAGAUUCUCAACUAUUAUUCGAACAUGGAAAUACAAUUUCCUAAAAUUAUCUUCUUGCUCAUCCAUCGCUUCGUUAGCUUCGUGGUUUCUCCAUAAUACCUUCAAGUCUUGUGAUUGAGGAAUUCGUUAUCAAGAGGAAUACGGUUAUGCGGGUAGUCUAUAGGAGGUUGGUUCCGAAAUAGGGAUCAAUCCCUAUUUAUAUGAUAAGUUAUUCUCAAGCUACGGUUGCUUCAAGGAAGAAUAUCUGAGUUUGAUCGAAAUAGUGUUAACUUAGUCCUUCAAACCUCUACGAAUUAUUUCCAUGACAAUCUGUAUCUCCCCAAACUUAGAAUUGACUUGGAUAACGAGUCAAACUAUUAUCGUAAUGAAUUCAAAAAUACUACUUCAACUUAAAUCUGAGGUAGUACUAGGAAGUACUGCUUGUGGAACCUUAAUAUCAACGGCUUUAUUAGAAAUAUUAUCCAAUUCAUCGGUCUCAUACUCGAUGUAGCCUUACCGUUGAGCAAGAUGCUGAAUAUUUAUAGCGUUCUAGAAGUUGAAGGCCGAGAUACGGUUCGUCAACCAAUUAAUGGGACUUGUGACGUACGUCAACUAUGAGGAAAUAAUCGAGUUAGGGUUGUAGCUAGGAGUCCUACAAAUGGUCUGAUGAGAGGAAUGAAAGGGAUUAAUAAGGGUCUCAUAUCGUUCGAAUCUUUAAAUCUCUCCCUAGUUAUCCGUGUCACAUUCUUCAAGAGAACGUGUUUCUUCUCCUCCGUUUCGGUCGAAUCUUUGUGGUAAUUAGAAUUAUUUAUCUAGCUCCACAUAUGUAUAACUCUUUUGACAAUCUUGUGCAGGCUUUGAUCUUAAUUUGAUAAGCCCAACUUUACCGCUAGCAUCUGGUAUCAAUCUCCAAGCCCUAACCUUUGCCGUCGUUAGUUGUUCGUCGUUCAUCUGUCUUGAAACGCAAGCUCGAUUGAUACUUCAUUCCACGAACUACUGCGAAGCUGUUUGUAUUGCCGCUCGCUUGAUAGCUGUCCCAAGUCAUCACGAUAAUUCACGUUGUACGUCCUCAAUGUGUUCAGUCACCCGCUCAAACGAUAAGUUAAUUUCCGAACGUUUCUCGUUCUGAGCUGAAAUUUUGUCCCAUAUUGCGGAUAGCUGCUUUCAUAACAACGAGAUGUCUUAUAAUCUAUAUAGAAAUAAUGUGAGUUAGCUAAAAGAGAUAGAUUUCGGAUCUAAAUUAUCUUCAGCAGACAAAGAGGCAACUACUUUCCCGGUCCACAAAAAUUCUCUAUUCAUUGGUCUACAUAAAGUGGAAUUGAAUGCACCACAAUUGCAAUCAAAGAGGACGGCGAAGCCUGAUUUACUUAUGGUAUCGACAUUGGACACUAGAAGAGCUUGAUUAUAGAUGGCAUUCGCAAGGAAAAGGUUUUCGAACAGUAGAUCGACCAGGCAACGGUUGAUGGAAGAGAGCUUUAGCUUCUAAAAUCAAGAGUAAUCGAAAAUGGCAACGGUUGAUACAAUCUUCCCAUGGUUUCACAACCGCAUACCUAAUAAAUACUUAUCGUAGAGAAGUCAGGACUCAGAAUAUCCGACAAUUGAGUAGCCUUAAUUCAUUGAAUUCACUACUAUUUCAACAUAGGUGAACUAGUCCAAUGCCAUUCUUCGACACUAAGCACGCUCUAAUCACGUACGAAACAUUAUACGCACUAUAUCUAUUAAUGCCGAUAGUGAAUUACUUCAACCAAACUACAUGACGGGCAAAGCUUAUUUAUAGCAAGUUGAUCAUCAAGGACAAAUUCUUGUAGUUCUUCGUCCACAUCUUACAAAGAGAAGUGCAAUCCUCUACGGUGUUAUUGACAUAGGUGUUGUACUCUAAACACCUUCUCUACAUAGCACUUAGCUCUUGAUAUUAACUUAUCAACCAAAUAGAAUUGCAAAAAACUGAUAAUCCAAUGUCAAGAUAUAGCUGACUUAUCGGAUACUAGGGACUCUAGAGGUGGCUCAUGCAAGAUUAAGAGGUGGCUCCCGUUGGGUAGCACUUUGCCCUGCAUAGCACUUAGCUCCUUAUACCCUGACGGUUAGAAUCAAGAAUUCAAACCGCUCAAGAUACCUUAAGAGUCAACAAACUCUAUAGAAUUUCUAAGUCGUGAUAACUACAUAACCUUUUUCCGUUGAGUAAGAUCCAUAAGAUGAUAUAAAAAUAGAUGCAUACAACCGUAGUCAUAUUACACGACAUUGCCCAAACAUACUUUUACUCUGAAUUAACAAUAAUCAUGACCUAUGAGUGAGAGGGAACAACAAGAAGCGAUAUGAAGAAGUCGAAUCACAAGGUUUCAAAGGGAUAAGAAACCUCACAGAAUAGGCUAUCCAAAGCUAUCCAAAUCAAGAAGUAUUAAAUGAGAUGAGGAAUCUCAAAAAGAACGUAACAAGAAUAAGGAAGCAUUCAAACAAGAUCAAACACCUCACUCAUGAUCAAUAAUGGGAAGGAAGUAAGAUAGUCAAGCAAUAUUGUAUACAAAGAAUCAGAUACCUGAAAAAGUAGGUAACCGAGAUGCCGAAGUAUUGAAAUAAGAUAAGGAGUUUUGAAAUGAGAUAUGGGAUUUCCAUUGUGAUCAAUAAUAACAAUGGAACAAUGCAUGUACAAGAAUCGAAUUUUGAGGCCAAAAGAACAAGAACCUCAAAAAUAGGUAGAAAGAUUGAUCCGACAUGAGAAUAAUAACAAUGGUAUAGCCAAAUCAAACGAGAAUAGGGACCUCAAAGGUAUGUGACCAAAAUCACGAGCUAUUCAAGAAAAUUGGAACACUGAAAAUGUAGUAUAGAUUAAGUAAAGCAAUAUCCAAGAAAGAAAAAGUCUCGACAAAUAGAUUCGCCGAAACUAUAGAGUGUUCAAAGAGAUACAAAACCUCACAAUCAGGUAGAUGAUCAAAGCAGAUGGUAAUAGAAUAAAGUAAGAAGCCUCACAAGAACAUGACCAAAGUCAUGACGUAUUCAAAAUAAUUGGAUCACUAAGGAUGGAGUGAACUGGAUGAGAAGUCUCGGCAAAUAGAUAAGCCGAAACCAUAACUAUUUACAAAGGAUAGAAUAAUUGGAUCACUAAGGAUGGAGUGAACUGGAUGAGAAGUCUCGGCAAAUAGAUAAGCCGAAACCAUAACUGUUUACAAAGGAUAGAAGGUGGAGAUGGUAGCACAAUAAGGUAAGGGCUUCAAAACAAGAGAUAAUCCAAACCAUGCGGAAUUUGAAGGGGUACGAAACCUCACAACAUUGGUAACCAAGACUAUGAGGUAUUAAAAUGAGAUAAGAAAAUCGAUUACGACCAACAAAUGAAAUUAGACAAUACUGGCCAACGAAUCAAAAUUGAAUUCAUUGGAAUGAUAAGGAGUGAACAAAAGGACUCCCGAAUAUUUGGUUCACCGUAAAUCAAUACUCAAAACGAGAUAAUAUGGUUUCGAUAAGGAAGUCAAGUUAUGAAGUAAAAUGGAAUGGGACGUCUACAAGAAAAGGUGUUACCAAAUUCAAGUGAAACUAGGAAACUCACUCGAGAUAAACAACAUCGGAGAAUUGGAAGCCAACUGAAGUAACAAAAAGAACCAAGAAUCUCAUACUGCAUCUCAGGUCGCGUAUGAUAGAUAUUUCUACGGGGUAUGCCUCACUAUCUAUAUCAGUAAUAGAUGCUAAAGAAUUAUCUCAAUGCCUCUAUGACUCGAUUACUGCCGAUCACAAUUUAGCCCAAGAUUCAAUUCAUAGCUCUACAAUUCUCAAAGAUCCCUUUUCAUCAUCGCUCGGGCAUCCAACCCAAAGCCAACCCAAAGCUCUGAUACCACCUGUAGCGCCCCGCCCCGAGUAGCAGGCACCUCGUGGCGGAACACCACUCAACAUGCAGUACAUUCAAUGACCCCAAAUAUGCUCCUCAAAAUUUCGAUAAUCAAAACAUUAACCCGCAAUAUCUAUCCCAUCGUGUUUACAAAAGGAGGUUCUAUUACAAGUCGACUUCGACACCACUUACUCUAUUACAAAAUUCUCGAUCAAAGGAUUCCUAU